CAUGGCUCAGGACGAACGCUGGCGGCGUGCCUAAUACAUGCAAGUCGAGCGGACACACAAGGAGCUUGCUCCCUUGAACUUAGCGGCGGACGGGUGAGUAACACGUGGGCAACCUGCCCUUUAGACUGGGAUAACUCCGGGAAACCGGAGCUAAUACCGGAUAAUCCCUUUCUCCACCUGGAGAGAGGGUGAAAGAUGGCUUCGGCUAUCACUAAGGGAUGGGCCCGCGGCGCAUUAGCUAGUUGGUAAGGUAACGGCUUACCAAGGCAACGAUGCGUAGCCGACCUGAGAGGGUGAUCGGCCACACUGGGACUGAGACACGGCCCAGACUCCUACGGGAGGCAGCAGUAGGGAAUCUUCCGCAAUGGACGAAAGUCUGACGGAGCAACGCCGCGUGAGUGAGGAAGGCCUUCGGGUCGUAAAGCUCUGUUGUGAGGGAAGAAGCGGUACCGUUCGAAUAGGGCG
rnacentral:rRNA from 2 species